GGCGCCGUGGCUUAGUUGGUUAAAGCGCCUGUCUUGUAAACAGGAGAUCGGGGGUUCGAAUCCCCUCGGGGCCU
rnacentral:tRNA from 1 species